GACGAACGCUGGCGGCGUGCUUAACACAUGCAAGUCGAACGGAAAGGCCCUGCUUUUGUGGGGUGCUCGAGUGGCGAACGGGUGAGUAACACGUGAGUAACCUGCCCUUUACUUUGGGAUAACUUCAUGAAACUGGGGCUAAUACCGGAUAUGAGCUCCUGCUGCAUGGUGGGGGUUGGACCGUUUCGGCGGUUGGGGAUGGACUCGCGGCUUAUCAGCUUGUUGGUGGGGUCGUGGCUUACCAAGGCUUUGACGGGUAGCCGGCCUGAGAGGGUGACCGGCGAGAUUGGGAGUGUAAAACGGCCGAGAGCGGUAAGGGAGGCAGCAGUGGGGAAUAUUGAAGAAUGGGCGGAAGCAUGAUGCAGAAAAGCGGAGGGCGGGAUGACGGUGGUAGGGUUGUAAACAGCUAUCGCUUGUGACGAAGCGUGAGUGACGAUAAUGGGUAAAGAAGCACCGGUGAACUACGUG
rnacentral:rRNA from 1 species